rnacentral:rRNA from 1 species
UUGAACGCUGGCGGCAUGCCUUACACAUGCAAGUCGAACGGUAACAGGUCUUCGGAUGCUGACGAGUGGCGAACGGGUGAGUAAUACAUCGGAACGUGCCUAGUAGUGGGGGAUAACUACUCGAAAGAGUAGCUAAUACCGCAUGAGAUCUACGGAUGAAAGCAGGGGAUCGCAAGACCUUGUGCUACUAGAGCGGCUGAUGGCAGAUUAGGUAGUUGGUGGGAUAAAAGCUUACCAAGCCGACGAUCUGUAGCUGGUCUGAGAGGACGAUCAGCCACACUGGGACUGAGACACGGCCCAGACUCCUACGGGAGGCAGCAGUGGGGAAUUUUGGACAAUGGGCGAAAGCCUGAUCCAGCAAUGCCGCGUGCAGGAUGAAGGCCUUCGGGUUGUAAACUGCUUUUGUACGGAACGAAAAGCUUUGGGUUAAUACCCUGGAGUCAUGACGGUACCGUAAGAAUAAGCACCGGCUAACUACGU